CCCCGUGGUGUAAUUGGUAAACACAAGGUGCACUUUCUAAGGUGUUUCGUGCUAUAGGUUCGAAUCCUUUCGGGGCAA
rnacentral:tRNA from 1 species